rnacentral:rRNA from 2 species
UGGGGAAUAUUGGACAAUGGGGGAAACCCUGAUCCAGCCAUGCCGCGUGUGUGAAGAAGGUCUUAGGAUUGUAAAGCACUUUAAGUUGGGAGGAAGGGCAGUUAACUAAUACUUGGCUGUUUUGACGUUACCGACAGAAUAAGCACCGGCUAACUUCGUGCCAGCAGCCGCGGUAAUACGAAGGGUGCAAGCGUUAAUCGGAAUUACUGGGCGUAAAGCGCGCGUAGGUGGUUCAGUAAGUUGGAAGUGAAAUCCCCGGGCUCAACCUGGGAACUGCUUUCAAAACUGCUGAGCUAGAGUAUGGCAGAGGGUGGUGGAAUUUCCUGUGUAGCGGUGAAAUGCGUAGAUAUAGGAAGGAACACCAGUGGCGAAGGCGACCACCUGGGCUAAUACUGACACUGAGGUGCGAAAGCGUGGGGAGCAAACAGG